CUUUAACUGGCUUUGAGUUAAGCUGCGUUAACUGCUCUAGUUGUUGGUUUCAGUGGCUUCAAUCUCUUCUAGUGUCUUUUUUUUUUACUUUUUGUCUUUUCUGUUGCCCUUGGUUUUCCUAGAAAGUCCUUAAGUAGAGUCUGAGCCUUGCAGAAUUUUCAGCUGUAUUCCUGUUAUUAUACAGUAGCCCUGUUGAUGUAUUGUGUUGGGGAGAAAAGCAUUCUGCAAACCUGUAAUGAGGUUCCAGUCAUUCGGUGGAUCUGUGACCGUCUGCUAUGAUUUUCUUAAGUCUUUCUCAGCUUUGCACCCCUCGUUCUGUGAGACAGAAGGCUAGCGGUGGCUAGAGUUGUGUAAUUUUCCCUUCCUCACAUUGGAUAAGGCUCUUGAGAAGUGUUCUCCCUUUCUGUGUAGGUCUUUUUUUUUUUUUUUUUUUUUUUUGGAGAGAUCAUUCUGGAUUUCUUUCAAAAUUGUUACCUUUCCCUUGGGUACAUUUCCAAACGGUUACUUUUUCUCUCCCCUAGCCAAACAGAAAGGGAUUUUUCUCUGAUCUUCAUUAGGAGAUCUCAGUAGGGUCCCUGUAGAUAAAAACCCAUCAAAAUAUGCGGUCCUUCCCCAAGCUGGGCACCUAGGCGUUUUCACCUCUCAAGCUUAUCCACCCUCAGCUUGCAAUAAUUCACUGAAGUUUGUGCAGAGGAUCCAGUGGCUUCAGCUUCAGCCUGAACAAAGCUCCACGAUGAAGUCUACGAAGCCACAUUUUGGACAAAGGCUGAAUCUAAGGACUGUUUGGAAGAGAUCCACCCAAUAGAUUAGCUUAAAGAAGACUAUCUGGACAACUUGUUGGUAAGAAAUGACCUUCAAUGUGUUGAGCCUGUGAUCCUUAAAACUGCUUAUGUUAUGUGGCACUUAUUUUGGACCCAUUUCCCAAGUCCUCACUCUCAUCUGGUAAUCUUGCUCUUUUAUUUCACUGAAUAAAAUAAAAACUAAAAAGAAGAUAAUUUCUACACAUUUCUCUAUUACCCACCAUCCUACCUAGGUCUGUACCC
rnacentral:lncRNA from 10 species